CCUAUUGAUUCACUGAAACUUUGAAAAUCUAAAAUCUCAUCACCGUUAGACUCCACGAACGACGAACAGCGACAACCAGUGACUACCACGACCAUAACUCCAUGAAUGAUGAACGACGAAGAGUUCUCUCAUCUGCGUACGACGAUAAUCUAGAUUAAUUAACCAUCAUGAGCCCACGGACAAUGAAUGGCAAACGGCGCUUCAGUUCUUCAAUCCUCAACUGCUCCACAACCACUAGUCCACUGCUGAUUUAGCAAGCAUGUUGAAGAAGACUUGAGAUCUAGUCUAAGUCUUGAGAUCUGAAUUUUGAAGUCAAGGGCGUUUUAAGAUGGUUGAAGAAUACUUUUUUUUCUUUUUUAUUUGAGAGAUACAAUUGUAAUUAGCAAAUGUUUUCAUUUUUUUUGCCAAUGUUUUUAUUAAUGGGUGAUGGAUAAUUGAUAUUUUAUCUUUUUAUUUCA